ACGUAGGGGGCGAGCGUUAUCCGGAUUCAUUGGGCGUAAAGCGCGCGUAGGCGGCCGCCUAAGCGGAACCUCUAAUCCCGGGGCUCAACCCCGCGGCCGGGUUCCGAACUGGGCGGCUCGAGUGCGGUAGGGGCAGGCGGAAUUCCCGGUGUAGCGGUGGAAUGCGCAGAUAUCGGGAGGAACACCGAUGGCGAAGGCAGCCUGCUGGGCCGACACUGACGCUGAGGCGCGAAAGCCGGGGGAGCGAACAG
rnacentral:rRNA from 1 species